CUUAUUGUUUGUUAAGAUGAGAAACAGGUGCACAAGCCAGCAAGGCUCCAUUCCUCUGUUAACAAAAGGGUUUGUUGUCAGUUUUCCCCAUCUCGCCCUUUAGCUGGGCUCUGACUGGAAAGGCAGAAUUCGACCUCAGUUCCAGAGUGAAGCACAGGGAACCAGUAUCAGCCUGGGGAGCUGACUGCGAGCUGCCCGCUGGAUGCUCAUCAGUUUUCGGAACACAGUGGUAGCCCGGCCUCCAAGGGUGGAAGAGCAAGUAGAACAUCCCUGAGGGGGCUGCCUGGAGCCGAAGGCUGAGUGACUGCUUUACCAGACUUUGGUGCCUGGAAACUGGGAUGUCCUUGCAAGCAGCUAAGCUGGAGUGGAGCUGGAAAGAUAACGUGGGUGCACAGAUACGUGAUUCGCCACUCAAGUCAAUAGAGAUGCUCCACAUCAGCAGUCUCCAGAGGCUGUCUUGAGCAUACAGACUCAAGUUAACCUUUGUUCACAAAAGUCCUAUUUUGAGCUUCAUGACUUUAUUUUCCUCUGCAGUGGAUACCCAUCCCAAACUUCUCCCUAGGCCCUGUUCCGGAUGAAGCUACCUUGACUGGAAUGGCCUUGCCCUAUUUAUUCAACGGCAUGUGUUAGUAUGCAUGUUUUUUUUCUUGCUGAGGAAGAUUCCCCCUGAGCUAACAUCCAUACCAAUCUUCCUCCAUUUUUUAGUAUGUGGGCUGCCAGCACAACAUGGCCUCUAACAGAAAGGUGUAGAUCUGCAUCCAGGAACUGAACCAGGGCCACCUGAUGUGGAGAACACUGAACUUAACCACUAGGACACCAGGACUGGCCUUAUAUUUGCUUAAAAAAAAAAAAAUCAUACUACAGGAAACUAUGACAUGCUAACUAGGUCCUUUUACCUGACCAGGAGAAGUUCCCCCAUGUCCUUGGCUGCCCUUGUUCUCUUGGUUAAAAUGAUGUGAACCGUUCCACAUGUCUGCUUGUCCUCUCCUUGCUUGUCCCUCUCCCACCCUAAAGACUGGCUAACCUGCACAGUUUCUCCUCAGUUUGCUACAUUAACUCUUUCUGGUUUAACCAGGUAAACGUGAGGUCUUUCCUCUCUUCCAAAACCAUAGAUUUCCCCUAUGAUCGGACUUUCCUCAUCACACACUGAAUGAACUCACUACCUCGUCACCGACUGCUCAGACCCCAAAGCAUCCUGUGCCUCAAAGCUGAGCCAGCCUGGUCUCCAUCUAGGACAGCACUGCUUCUCUGAGUCUUGGCCU
rnacentral:lncRNA from 1 species